rnacentral:rRNA from 1 species
GCAGUAGGGAAUCUUCCACAAUGGGCGAAAGCCUGAUGGAGCAACGCCGCGUGAAUGAAGAAGGCCUUAGGGUCGUAAAGUUCUGUCCUUAGGGAAGAACCGUGGGUAUAGCAAAUGAUACCCACCUGACGGUACCUUUGGAGGAAGCACUGGCUAACUACGUGCCAGCAGCCGCGGUAAUACGUAGAGUGCAAGCGUUGUCCGGAAUUAUUGGGCGUAAAGGGUACGCAGGCGGAUAAUCAAGUCAAGCGUGAAAGGUGUCGGCUUAACCGACAGACUGCGUUUGAAACUGAUUAUCUUGAGUGUAACAGAGGAGAGUGGAAUUCCUAGUGUAGUGGUGAAAUACGUAGAUAUUAGGAAGAACACCAGUGGCGAAGGCGACUCUCUGGGUUAACACUGACGCUGAGGUACGAAAGCUGGGGGAGCGAACGGGAUUAGAUACCCCGGUAGUCCCAGCCGUAAACGAUGGAUACUAGGUGUUGGAGGUUCGAAUCCUUCAGUGCCGGAGUUAACGCAUUAAGUAUCCCGCCUGGGGAUUACGAUCGCAAGAUUGAAACUCAAAGGAAUUGACGG